rnacentral:tRNA from 1 species
UGUCCGAGUGGUUAAAGAGAUUGACUCGAAAUCAAUUGGACUCUGCCCGCGUAGGUUCGAAUCCUUU